CCUACGGGAGGCAGCAGUGGGGAAUUUUCCCGCAAUGGGCGAAAGCCUGACGGAGCAAUACCGCGUGAGGGAGGAAGGCUCUUGGGUCGUAAACCUCUUUUCUCAAGGAAGAAAAAAAAUGACGGUACUUGAGGAAUAAGCAUCGGCUAACUCCGUGCCAGCAGCCGCGGUAAUAC
rnacentral:rRNA from 1 species